GACGAACGCUGGCGGCGUGCUUAACACAUGCAAGUCGAACGGUGAAGCGAGUGCUUGCACUCGUGGAUCAGUGGCGAACGGGUGAGUAACACGUGAGUAACCUGCCCAUCACUCUGGGAUAAGCACUGGAAACGGUGUUUAAUACUGGAUACGACCAACCCUUGCAUGGGGUGUUGGUGGAAAGAUUUAUCGGUGAUGGAUGGACUCGCGGCCUAUCAGCUUGUUGGCGGGGUAAUGGCCCACCAAGGCGACGACGGGUAGCCGGCCUGAGAGGGUGACCGGCCACACUGGGACUGAGACACGGCCCAGACUCCUACGGGAGGCAGCAGUGGGGAAUAUUGCACAAUGGGCGAAAGCCUGAUGCAGCGACGCCGCGUGAGGGAUGACGGCCUUCGGGUGGUAAACCUCUUUCAGCAGGGAAGAAGCGAAAGUGACGGUACCUGCAGAAGAAGCACCGGCUAACUACGG
rnacentral:rRNA from 1 species